rnacentral:rRNA from 1 species
UACGUAGGGACCAAGCGUUGUUCGGAUUUACUGGGCGUAAAGGGUGCGUAGGUGGUGGGGUAAGUCGGAUGUGAAAGCUCGGAGCUCAACUCCGAAAUGGCAUUGGAAACUACCCUGCUAGAGGAUUGGAGGGGGGACUGGAAUACUUGGUGUAGCAGUGAAAUGCGUAGAUAUCAAGUGGAACACCAGUGGCGAAGGCGAGUCCCUGGACAAUACCUGACACUGAGGCACGAAAGCUAGGGGAGCAAACAGG